UACGUAGGGUGCGAGCGUUGUCCGGAAUUAUUGGGCGUAAAGGGCUCGUAGGCGGUCUGGUGCGUCGGGAGUGAAAACUCAGGGCUUAACCCUGAGCCUGCUUCCGAUACGGGCAGACUAGAGGUAUGCAGGGGAGAACGGAAUUCCUGGUGUAGCGGUGAAAUGCGCAGAUAUCAGGAGGAACACCGGUGGCGAAGGCGGUUCUCUGGGCAUUACCUGACGCUGAGGAGCGAAAGUGUGGGGAGCGAACAGG
rnacentral:rRNA from 1 species